AUUUAAAUAGCUUAAUAAGAGUUUAACACUGAAGAUGUUAAGGUGAUCAAAGAUCUUUAGAUA
rnacentral:tRNA from 1 species